rnacentral:tRNA from 1 species
GGGGAUUUAGCUCAGUGGUAGAGCGUUUGCCUACCAAGCACUAAGGCCCUGGGUUCGGUCCCCAGCUCCG